rnacentral:lncRNA from 1 species
CGACAUGCAAGCAGGACUCUCCUCUAGCCCCCAAUCGCAAUCCCUUACAUAACCCCUCAACCAUGCCCCAUCAGCCCAGUCCACGUAAUCUCAGUUCAUUGGCCUUCGUCAAAUGCCCUGAUCUUAGGUCAUGGUGCGCCUGCGCAGCUCUCACGAUGGACAUGGCUUAUUUCCGGGUGUAUGAGGAAGUCAGGCUGCAGUCCCGGGCACCAUCUUGGGACAACCGCCACACCCGCUCCCCACAGGAUGUUAUGUAAAAUGCUAGCCUCUGGUCCCUCUGGUCUUGCUAACAGCACUUAAAGCUUACAGACAGACACCUGCUCACCUCAGAAGUACAUGUGAUAGAUUUGAUAGGAGUAAACAACAGUGCUCCAGGUCUGAGCCUUGUCUGAAAACCUGGAAAUAAUCGUGACAUUUGAGGAAGCUUAAAGAUCGCCAUUGAUCUUUGUUAAGGACUUUACUGGUCUCCCACCGAGCUAUCUGCACAGGACCUCACUCUGCAGGCUUCUGCACCAGGCCCAGCACAGCUUCUCCCACUGAGAGCAGACUUCCAGUUCCUCCAGGAAGCUGACCUACCUCCCUGCGGUGUCUAGACUUGCUAUUGCCAUUGUGCAGUGAAGAAAUUUCCUGGCGAUGCAGAGCUGCAAGUCUCACCCAAGAGGCUGAGACAGGAGGAUGGAAGCUAGCCUAGACUACAUGGAGAAUUCCAGGCCAGUCUCACAUUUUUUUGAUAAAACUUCCUGCCCAUGUCCAGAGUGGAUGGACUAAUGCACAGAAAAGGGGGCACACCAACCGCACAGACAGUUCUGAAGAGAAGGACAGAUAACCAGUAAAGGAACCCAGCAUCUCCAGGGACCAGGGAAUUGCAAAUGGAAAGUCCGCAGAGGUUCCAUUUCACCCUGGCCAGAACGGCCACCAGCAAGAAACCGGACCAAACCAUGAAUGCUAAUGAGGAUUUGAGGGGGAAAGAGCACAUAUAUGCUGAUCGUGGAUUAAUGUCUUGCCGAAGAGCUGGCUGCCUGGUGGCUCAGUCAUGUUGACAUAAAAUGAGCCAACCUUUGACUGGAUCCUCUGUGCUCUCUUCUGUCAUUUUAUAGCACCCUGUGACUCUUAAAAAGUGAACGUUCUUUUUUGCUCUGGGAAGUUCUUUCUCCUGUUACAGUCUCCCAACUCAAGAUUUUAAAUAGAAAUCAACACAGGCUUCUCCUGUUUGUUUUCUGCCAUCUACCCUUUUCCCCACAAGACGACACAUGCUCCCAAGAAGCUUCCUUCAUUUCGAAUGUUCAAAGAGGACUCUGCAGGAGAGACAGCCACUGGUUUUUGGCAGCAGGGCAGCUCUGCAGUGACAACCAAGCACUCGCACAAGGGGCAACGGCAGGUGCCAACAUCCCUGCUUGAUCAGACAGUUUAUGAGAUGGCAGGAGAAGACAGACCUUAUCUUCAGGUGCUGUGUGAUUAUGCUAUUGCUCUGGCAGUGAGAGAGCAGAAGGCUGGCAAGAGCUGAUGUCCCCAUUGAGGGAGAGGAACCACAGUUCCUUCAGAGGCCAAAAGAAACCGCAGAGGCGAAACCCCCAAACCACACUCCAGUAGAUACAGCCUCUGGGGCUCCAAACUCUUCAGAACCCGUCAGAUGGGAGGGAAAGGCAUGGCUAUUUUCCAGCCAGAGGCCCAGGCUUGAAGAAAUGAAUGGCAUCUCCAUGCAAGACAGACAGCUGCCAAAAGUCCCUCUCCUAGUAGCACUGAGGUCUCAAGGAAGAGCCCACAUGCCUGGGCAGAACCUUCCAGGCUCUGGUACAAAGGCUUCUGUCCCCCCUCCCCCUCCCCACCUUUAUUCAUUUUCCACUGAUUUUUUUUUUCUUUCUGUGAGCCUAUGACAAGAGGAAGAAACUAAUCAUAAAACCUGAUCAUAAAAUUCCUUCCUACACUUG